UGGACGGCCUAGAUCAAAAGCAUACGGAUAUAAAAAAUCCCCAUCAACACCAAACCCUAUAGCUGUCAGACCCCUCGCUGGAGAAGAAGGCCCGGCUGCCGUGAAGGAGACUGUUACCACCCGUCGCUGCACCGAAGCCCUUUCCGACCUCCAAAAAAGGUAAAAAAAAUUCUUUUUGCUUGAAAUUCGAUUCUAAACACACCCAUGGCCAAAUUGGAGCAAAAGAACCGGCUAAUUGGUCGAAAAACACAGGCGAAGCUCAGCGGUGCCACCGCAAAGAAUUUCAUAAAACACCUCCCGAUGAGAUCCUUCCCGAUUCCCGUUUUGUAUAAUUUUUCUACCGUUGUGAUCACCGUGUUAUGCUCUACGGUUGAUCAGAGCAAAACAGCCAACUGCAGCGUGAGCC
rnacentral:lncRNA from 1 species